rnacentral:lncRNA from 1 species
GUAAAAUGUAAAACCAUCAUAUGGUAUUUUCACAACUUGGAGAAAGAUGUAUUACAGCAAACAAUCUCACUGGUAUUAAAGUGCUAAAAACUUGAACUCUUCCAGUUGUGAGGUAAUAAAAUAUAGCUAAGCUUUCCUAGCAAAGAGGGGGGAAAAACUGAAAACCAGCUAUUCAAGAUUGCAUAUGGAGCGAUGCUAAGGAGAGACAGAAUUUCAUCCAGAGCUGCUGAAAUCCAGGCGUGUGUUACACCACCAUCUCCCCUCCAGCCUGCAAUCCAUCAACCAUCUCCACCUUACUCUUCACACUUAGGAUUAUGAUCAAGUCUAUGUACUAAAGGGGGAAAGACCAAACAAACAUUACACUGAAAGUGUCCCUGCUUUGAACCAGCAGGAGAUUCCAGUUACUUCACUGGAACUGGUUAAGCGGCUGAAAUGAAAUGGGUGCUAGGAGAGAUCACCACGUCAGGACAGAGACUUGAUUUUCAGGGUUGGAGGAGAUCAGACGAAGACGAAUGAGAUUCUGAGUCUUAGUACAAGGUCAAGGCCCCCGGAAUUACAAAGAGCUGGUGGGUCAGUGAGGGGGCCUGUGGGUUGGGAAGCGGCAAAAACUAGCGCCAAAAAAGAAAACCCUGAACUAAUUUGUUAGUAGGUAAAUGCACUCAGAGCGGUGACGAGCAGCCCCAACGCUCGCUGAGAUCCUCAGAGUUUUACAAACCGACCCUCCUGAAAUUUCAAGGGCUUGGAUCCCUCGUAAGUCAUUAUCUACUAUAUGGUACCCUAGUUUCCCGAACAGGCUACCUGCCCCUGACCCUUUUCCCACGACCUUGGCUCCUCCUCGGCCUACAGCGCCCCCCGGGGCUCCUCUCAGCCUCCCACACAGACAGACAGAACGACCGGACAGUGCGGCGGGGGCCAACCCAAUUCCCCCACUCCAUCAGGACGCCCACUCCAUCCAGGCGGCCAGGAACCCCCGGAACCCGAAAACAGCAGAGCGCCGCACUCGCCCGCCGCCUGUGCGGCCGCCAGGUCACGGUGAUUGUCCGGUGUGACCCAGCUCAAAGCCAACGAAUUUGAAGAGGAAGCGGAAGGCCUCAAGAGAUAAGAUGAGAGGAGAAAGGGAACAGCUCUCAUCCUCACCUCAGAUCAGACCCCUGCCCCCCUGCCUCUGGACGCACUCAGGUGCUGAUAGAAUGUCUGGAACUGCAGCAGGAUCUUGAGACCAGGAGAAGCAGCCCAGAAGAAUGAAAGCCAUACACAAAUACUGAACUUACCCCAUAAGGAUGACUCCACGUGCACGUAAGGGGUAAAUCCUUGUGGUCUGAGGACCAAGAAAAUUAGCAUCACUUGGAUCUUGUUAGAAAUACGAAAUCUCAGGCCCCACUCCAGACUGGCUGAACACCCAGUUUAGCAAGCUCCCCAGAUGAUUCAGUUGUGUUUUACAGUUUGAGAAGCUCUAGCUCAAACUCCUGUUGGUUGGAUUUUUCUGAUACUUCAGUUGAAUAUUUUGGAACUUGUGAGCGGAAAAAAGUAGUGAGUGAUCAAAGGAUUGAAGAUUCUGAAGAGAAUUAAGUGAAUAUGGAAGGAUGAGACCAAGAAUGCAAAUGAAGUUGCCAGAUGGCCUGGGUCUCCAUGAGGAGAGAGCAGAAAUCACCCAUUCAGAGUAAAUAUAAGAAAGAGGAAAUGGUGGGGAGUUUCUUAGCAACUCAGGUGGGGAAUAUCAGAAAUCCUGCAUGACAGCUCAUCAGGGGAGUUGGACAGCUUGAAUAAGAGGUCCAUGGAUCUAACUUUUCCUGCACUCUAAAAGCCCCAGAACUGAGAUAGCAGACAGCUUCAAAUUAACCCAGUGGGAACUUAGGGGGACCAAGGUCACAAUUAAGGUCAUCACUGAAAGGCUGACCAUGGAGCACGUGGUGGAUUAAAAACUAUGGUGGACAAACACAAGUAAACCACUUGAGUUCAGUGGGGAGAGUUUCAAGCAUGCAGUCCUGGGAAGGAAGGCCCAAGAGAAUGUUCAGCAGUGGCAGUAGAGGAAUAUCAGGAAAAAAAAAAAAAAAAAAAAAAUAUA